CCCUGCCCCAGGCACUACCCAUGUGGCCUUGCCUUUCCCUUGAGAAACUUGGGUCACACUGAGCCCUGGUCUGGCCCUCCCUCAGGAGCUUCAGCCCCAGCGCCCAGGAGAGGGAUAGAGGCCCUUAUGAAAAUAACAUAGAUUCAGACCGGCAAACGCCUUGGGCACAGUGUGAGCCAGAGACAAACAGGACAAUGCAGAUGGCCCAGGGCCACGACCUCUCUGAGUGUCUGUCCCCGCUGCCUCAGGGAAGGACCUGGACCAGGAUUUGGGGAUCUGAGGGACCAGGUCAUCCAGGAACCCACGCCAGACCUAGGACAAGAUCUUCAAUCUGCAAAGUUCACUCUUCUCUCUCCAGCAAAUGAAACUCAUCCAAAUUACCAUCUGUCACACACUCACUGUGUGCUGAAGACCUGACAACACAGGACCCCACGAGAGGACACCACUUCUCCCUUUACCAGGAGCUCCACGGCAAUCAGGGAAGUCAGGCUGAAGUGCAAUGGCACCAUCUUGGCUCACUGCAACCUCCGCCUCCCAGCUUCAAGCGAUUCUCCUGCCUCAGCCUCUCAAGUAACAGGGAUUACAGGCACCCACCACCACACCCGGCUAACCUUUAUAUUUUCAGUAGAGAUGGGGUUUCCCCAUGUUGACCAGGCUGGUCUGAAACUCCUGACCUCAGGUGAUCCACCCACCUGGGCCUCCCAAAGUGCUGGGAUGACAGGCGUGAGCCACUGUGCCUGACCCAAAUCAGAAUUAUUUUUACUCCUUUUCUUGCAAAACACUACUCCCCUUCAUCAAGAGAAACUGUUGCUGUUCCCUUGAGUCGCAUACAUGGAAGGUAUUUCAGAUUUCAGCUAUGUUCCCUUUCUCACAACACGUGGUGUGGAAACUUCCAAGUCAUCAGGGACAUCAUGUUAAUACAUGCUGGGGUGGGUGGGUGGCAGGCACUGAGCUGGUGUGGCCUCUGUGCUUCUUGGGUGACCUAGUGUUUCCUAGCACGUGUUGGGCUGCAGAAGCCGUGUGUGCCAGUGACAUGAGAAACAUGGCCAGGACCAGGAACCAGAGGUGCAUUUCAUUUGUUGGGUGUCUGUGUGGCCAGGGGCAGCAUGGGCUCCCUGUAGGGAUAGUGGGCAGGGCAGGGGGAGCAUUCAUUUCUUGACUCCCAUGAUGGAACCUCUGCAAGACUUACGACCAGUUAUAAAGCUGUGGCAAAAGGAUUUACCACAAAGUGCCUGAUGUGACUUAAUUUUGAAUAGUGCAGGCGUGAGAUGUCAGAAAAGGGAACUCUUGCUCCAUCCAGCAGGCUCUCCAAAUCACAGCUCACACACGCUGACAAAAUCCCAUCCUUCAGCAUGACCUGACACAUCUAUUAAAGUUUCUGCUUUGAUAUGCAUCGUUUAAAGAUGCUAGGCAAUUACAAAUGCAGUUAAAGUUUAUGGCUGGGGGUACGCAGACCCUGUAAAAUGGGCGUGUCAAGUGGGCAGGUUCCCUCUGCCAUGGAACCAUUAGGAACUUCAUCUCUCCUGCAAAUGCUGAAGUGUUUCUGAAAGUCACAGUCUCCACUUGACUGCAGAACUCUUUUUUUUUUUUUAAAGCUAAGUUGACAGCACAUUAGAAAGGAAGACCAUUUAUUUUUCCUGGUUAAUUUGAAAAAUGCUGAUCUUGAUUUUAAUCAUUUGCAAAUGCAGCACAAUUCACUUAUAAUAUCCCUGCCAGCAGGAUCCUUGCCAAAUCCGUAAAGGUGUUGCACUUACAUAAUCAUAGGCAAAUUCCUGGAUUCUCAGGGGCAAAAUGCUUUUUACCCACCUCAGCAUUUAGUAUGCAGCCUUCAUAGUACUAACAACUACACAUUUUGCAUUGUUAAUUUAGCAUUGAUUACAGUUUUAUUGCAAAAAAUUAAAUAACUAAACAAGCCACAGCCUAUCAUGCCAAACAGCUGGGGGGGCCAUCCCCUUCUGAAGGAUGUGACGUUGGCUGAUCAGGCUCCUCCAGUGUGGCAGAGCAGAUGUUUGGGCCCAGCUGGAGCAACCUACCAGGAGGAGCAACCCACUCUCAGGCAAAUUGCCCCUCUCCAGGGGUGAGGUCUGGCUGCUCUUGGCCCAGCAGGUAACACAAUCAGGGCAACCUGCUUCCUGUGGGCAUGGUGGGGCCCUGUCCCCACCAAGCCAGCCCCAAGGCCCUGGGCAACAAGGUGUCCAGAGCCAUCACUUCCACUGCUCACCUGCUGGGGAACUCACUGCCCAUUUUGCCAGAUGUCAACUCUGAAAGUACGUCAGUCCUGGGCAGACUGACCAGUUGGUCACCCAGUUCAAGUCUCUGGCAAAGCAUUGCCCCCAACUACAAGUGGGCAGUGCAGGGAACCAGUUCCCUACUGGGAGAAUAAGCUUGCAAGGACACAAACCCCCACCAAGUAGGGUAACACGCAGAGUCAGGGUUCAGGGUCCACCUAUCAGCCCCCACCUUGCCCCAGUUAGAAGAGCAAUAGAGGAGAGUCGUUUUGCCUCAAGGACUUGGGUCACUUAAGGCUGAGGAUGUCCUCUUUCCUUCACCCAACAGUGUCUGGUUCCCAGUUUAGAUCCUCCCAGGCUCUCUCAAUCUACCAGUUCUCUGCAUUGGUGUGUGGGUGGACGGACACAUGGGAUUCAAAGCUUUAACAUCUUUCUAAGCAUCCUCUACUCCUUGACUCUUGCAUCUUACCUUUCCUGCCAGACCAAAGUCUUCAGGUUGCAAAGCCCUGGGGCCACCCUGAGGCCCUGGGUCCCACUCCCAGGUGGUCCUAAGACACAGAUAGUGGGGUGCUCUGCUUCUCCCACCCCCAUCAAAUACUUCAGACCUGAGAAGCCCAGAGGAUCUGCCACCCAUGCCCUCCAUACAACAUCCAGUGUAAGGUCUGACUUGUGCCAUAAACGGCAUGGUAAUCUCUGUGACCUGAACAACACCCCAGAUGAGUUCCUGGAAGAAGCCAUCAACCCCUGUGGAGCCUAACUAA